CCGUCCUUCCAUGUGGCUCCCCGAUUCACAGAUUCCCUGCUGUGCUGUGCGUUUCAGGGAGAGCUUCACUCAUCCACCACAUCCUCUGGCUGCAGCUAGCUAUUCAGAUGCAGUCCUUUUAGGCACUCAUAGCAGGACAGGAGAGGGCCAGCAAGGCAGAGCAGAUGGUGCAUUCUUAUCCCUAUCCAGCAGGCAAUUCUGCUGUGUUCCAAGUUCACACAGGUCCAUUAUGCACAGCAUUCGCUCCUUAGCUGGCCAGAGCCUUCAGCUGAUCUGAUUCCCCACUGCUGCUGUGGUGGAAGUCAAUGCAGCUGGCUUGGCUUCCGUUCCUUGAAAAGCUCUCCUUGUGUUCUGGAGAUGUUGACAGACAGACAGACAGUUCAGAGACAGAGCAUUCUCAGGAGGGAUGUGGUCACCCACACAUACAGCCGUGUGGGAUUCAGGUGGCAAAAGGAGAUGCCCGGUUAAGCUAUGUCAGCAGAGGAUCCCCACGCCCAUAAUGGCAAGAGAUUGGUUCGCCCUUUCCCAUUCUGUUACCCUCCAGAUGGGUUGGACUACGAGUCCCAGCAUUCCCCAGCCAGCACAAGACACAACUGCAAAUGUCUUCUCCUUUGCAUCCUCAAAGUGCCUAAUACCCAAGACCAGCCAAGUUAUUUUGACAUUUGAGGUAGAAAAUCCCACAAGUGCCUCUCUCCUUCAUCGGCAGUAAAAAUAUAACAUUAAAAAACCAAAUCCAUUGCAGUUGGCUGCCCUUUACUACACCCACAAUGCCUGCUCUGAUAGUUAGGGCUGACCCAACCUUGAGAGAAAAUGCUUGGGACUCUGUGUCUGACUGGUCUUGUUUUGUUUUUAAAGCAUGUAUUUUCAGAUGCUUGGGAGCAAAGAUCAGUGUGAACAUACAUGAAGGCAUCACAUGCUCAUGGGCUGAGAACAAAGCAGGAUGGACUUCGUUGAAAAAUAGAGUACACUUCAUACAGUAUGCAAAGUUUCUCUCCAGGAGAACUUCCUGACCGAAAUCAGAACAGUUCCUGAAAUCUUCAACUGUUUGGAACACCAUUGUCUAUUUUCUGUUCCUUUAAAAUGGGUGUGACAAUCAGAAAUUCAAGAAGCGUCUCCCAGCAUGGUGAAUCAUGGUGGUGGAGAUACUUGUACUUGGUGGUUUUCUGCUUCACCUCUGCCUCUUAAAGGUACAGGUCUUCAGCCAAAAGAAGGGUGGUGAUCUGAGGUGUAAGAGGUUUGAUGGCGCUUGAAAUAUCCCCACUAGUUGAUUUUUAACACAACAGUGGGAACCUGUGGCCCUCAGUGUUAAUGAAUGACUACUUUUUUGGCCAUGCUUCAACAGUUGGAUGAUUUGGAGCAAUUAGCAAGUGUAGUCAUGUUUUCUCUUUGCUGUGAAACACUUGACUCACUCAUUUCUGCACUCUGUUAAAGGCACAAGAGCAGGCCAGACAUCUCCACCCUGAACUUGGCUAUCAGAAGCCGGAAUGCACUAUUACCGCCGGUACAUUCCUAUCCCACAAGGAAUCCUGCCUGCAUUUUUCCGAGGGCAUAUCAGUGUUCUGGGAAACCUGGGUUCCCAUCUAAGGAAGAGGGUUUGGCUGCUUCAGCUCCUAAGACAGUUUUCCCCAGCCUGGCAUCUUCCAUGUUGACUGGACUACAAAUCCCAUAAUCCCCCAGCCAGCUAUAUUGCCUGUAGGGACCACUCUGCCAUUCCACAGCCUUGAGGUCGCGGGAAAAAAGGCACAAAGAAGAAGGCGACUCACCAAGUGAGUGGAGAUGGCACUGCAAGCUGUGAGCAAAGGGGACCUGGAGCGCGAAGAAGGCAGGGAGGACGCUAUCCGGGAGCCAAGACACAGAGGCACUUCGGUCUGCUUCUGCCAGCUUCUCUCCUGUUCUGCAUUCCCUCAGAUCUUUGGGAAGGAUAAAAACCCUUCUCCCCACUCAUUCACUCCGGCCAUCCUUUGUUGGGCCACAGGCCCCCUGGUGGCCGAACGACAAUGGCUACCAGUGGCUACGGAAAAGAUCAAAACCGCGGCGUUACUGGAGCUAGUCGGAACAGGCUGAAUGGUAGAAAGCAGCCACCAGCCUCAGUAAUAGACCCCGGUCGGUUUUGUUUCUUGGUGCAGUACAGCUGCGGGGAGCAAAGGAGGCUCGCUUUGGGGAGAAGCGGCACUGCGCCGAUUUCUUCAGCCAAACGAACAACAGGCAAAUUCAUCACAGGCCGCUGUGCAGGACCUGCUGAUGCCAACAUGCUCAGACAGCAUGCACUGCUGUUUAAGAAGUCUCUCCUUGCUUUUGCGUGAUUUUAUUAUAUUUCAUUGGUUGCACCCUGUUUCAAGGAUAAUUUUGUAAAUGAAAAGCAGGCCAUGUACUUAUUAAUAAAAUGCUUGAGCUAAUGAAGAAAUUAAAGCACAAAUGUAUGUGGA